rnacentral:lncRNA from 1 species
CUCUAUACUCAUAUUCUAUUCCAUUGCUACAGAAGUAAUGAUUGUUCAUUUGAUUAAACAUAAACAUUAUUUUAAAAAUAAAGAAUAGAGAUGCAAAAACCACACUACAUAUUAUUAAAGCAACAGAUAAGAAAAAUUUGUCUCUGCAGUAACCACAUAUUUUUAUCUAAAUUGUCUUAAAAAUGAAUAUAGAAUUGAACAUAUUAACAAUAUUAACAUCUGUAGUCAGUCUAAAUUUAGAUGAUAACUUUUAUUUACCAGGUGUCAAUGAAAUAUCAAGCUGGGAAAUAUAGUCUCCUAUAGGAUACUCUAAUUAUUGUCUUUCCUUCCUUCCUGUCUUCUAAAAAGCUGAUUCACUGAGUCACUAUAAUGUUACUAUUCUGUAAUGCAAAGUGAUCUUCACAUCCCACAUUAAAAAAAAAAAAAAAGUUCAUUAGUCAGCUUUUGGCUUCCUUCCUAUCACAAUCCAGACCAGUGGGACCAGAAAAAACCCAACAGCCUGAAUAAUAAAAGAGCAAAGGCAGAUAUUGCAUAUCCACUGGUCAGUAUUGAGUCACUCAUUCUUUCUUUUGGCCAAGGUCAGGACUAGGGACGAUACCCAUGUUGGUUCUACUUCUGCUGCUCCUGGUACUCACUGAUUCUGACACCUGUGGCUUCCAGGUCUGGCUGUUGUCUGUUUGCUUUUCUUUUCCUUAAUGACUUCCUUUGACUGAGCCUUUUGCCACUACCUGAUUUCUCUUGGGUACCUAAACUUAAACAUCUAAACUACCAUCCUCUCUGUUUUGAGAUUGCAGAUUCUUGGUCUUUGCUUAUGUGAAAUCAUAAAAACAAAGACAAUUAAGAAGAAAUAAUGCAAUGCAUGUGAACGUUUAACUUUAAAAUCUACAAAAAGGAGGUGUGAUGAAUCUGGUACACUCGAUCAAAUGCUCUUUUUAAAAAAAUUACUUUGGAGUGCCCUCUCUGGAUGCAAUAGGAUCAGUGGCGUCUUGGGAGUGCCAUGAUGCAGGUUCAAUCCCUGGCCCAGAACAGUGGGUUAAGGAUCCAGAGCUGCUGCAGCUGCAGCUUAGGCCACAACUGCAGCUUGGCUCAGAUCUGAUUUCUGGCCUUGGAAUUCCCAUAAGCAAUGGUAACUUCCUAGUUUGUAGGUAAUUGCUGAUUUUUGCAUAAACUACAUUUAAAAUGUUUUGUGAAAAUAUUAACAAACUCAAAUGGAAAUAGUACUAUUGUCAUUAUAUUAUAAAACUUUAAAAAUUUUUAAAUUAAUUUUCUUUUUAUGAUAUAAUAAUUGGGAAACAUAUAUUCUUAGCAAAUUAGCAUAAAUGAAUGAUUAUAUAUUUUAUAUGGCAAAAUAUAAUAUACCCCAUCUAUAAUGAUAUAUCAAUUAAUUCUUAUAUCACUACUCUCAACUAACGUCAUAGUUUUCAUUAGGAGUUUUUCUAUAAUCUUCCUAAUAUCCUAAAGAACUUUAUUGUACAAAACCUGAAAUUUCCACCCAAAGUAUAAGUGUAUUAGUGGGUAGGUAAUGCACGGCAUUAGCAAAUAGUUAUGUUUUAUUUUCUCAGAAGUAUUUUAAUAAAAGUAGCUGAAAAUUAAAGUUUUAUCAUUUACAUUUCUUGUUGUCCAGUUUACUCUCAGUACACAAAUGUGGAUGGAUUCCUACUGAAAAUGGCACUUGUGAGACUGAAACAAUUUCUGGGAAAACUAGUUAUUAGCUAUUGACUGAGCAGUCAGAGGGGUUAUUAUUCUUAGUACAACAGAAUAUACUUGUCUAUGACUUUUGUAACCUCCAAAAAGUUAAUUUUUUGGAAGCCCCUUGAAAUUAUGUUGGUGUGAUAGUAAGUAAUUUUUUAUGUGUUAUUCUUCAACUCCUGGAAAAUUCCUUAACCACUUAUGGUAAUUUUGGACCAAUUUGCUUUCAUUCUUUUAAUUUUGUAUCUGAGGAUCUAUAACAUUUACUAGAACUUUUCUACAAAACUAGAUGAGACUAUCUCAUGCAUGGACUGCAGCCCAAAAACUUUAUGAUAUUUUACUACUUUAACAGGUUGGCUUGUUCUUUUAUCUAGAAAUUUCUAGUUAUAUAAACUUAAGUAAUGCAUAUUUUAAAUCUGUUAUUAUUUCUUAAGUGAUGUAAAAUUAUCUCCCAUUAGAUCACUUUAAUACAUUGUAGCCAACAUGGCCAGUCACAUUUCACAUAAGUCAAAACUUUGGCAAAGGGUAUUUAUUUGAUCAAGUCCAGGAAAUAUAUGAGAAGUUGUGUUUGUGAUUUAAGGUCUCUAAUUCCAGUGGCUCUCAACCAUAGUGUCUGAACCAGCCCACUAAUCAUAAAGAAAUUAUGGAAUCCUUAUUUUAUGUAGGACUCUUCCAGGUAGCUUCUCUCUUCAAAUGUUAAUCUAGUUAAGGGAUAAUAUGUACAUACAUGAGAAGUUAGCUAUCAACUUGUACCUCCUUGUAGGAGGUCACAGAAAAUACAGAACAGGGGGCAUUAGAGAACUGAUUGUACUCUGCUGUCGGUGGAGACUGUUUACAUAGAGUAAAAAAUACUUUUGGACGUAACAGUCAAAACAUAAAUUGGAGGUUUUGUUAGUGACUUGGAUUGCCUGGAAUGGAAACAAUUGUGGGAGUCAAUCUUGACAAAGAAGGUUGAAAAAAACUGUAAAGUCUUGCUAGGCUGAGGAUCUUGAACUUAAGUUCCUAUGCUCAGAGACAAAGUAAUAUUUUAGUUAUAUUAAUCCAGAAAGUGUAUUCAGAGUAAAUUAGAGAGAAAAGUAUGAACUAGGUUGCUGUCCAUAAUAAGGACUAUUGAUUUUUUAUAUUCAUAAUUGUUUUUCACUUACUGUUUCUGUAUGUUGAAAUAUUUAAAACAUAUAUUUUUAUCCUUUUGUCAUUAUCAAUAUUAUUGAAUUCUGCUAUAGGCCAUCUUUAAUGUAAACAAACAGAUACAUGCUAUGGCACAAAUUUUAGAUAUUUCUAUCUUAUUUCUUGGGUGAUUUACUUUCCCACUCUGGUGAUGCUUAGUGUAUAUUCAUUUUUAUAAUUGUUUUUGAUCUAAAUUCUUCCUUCAAAAUCUAAGGUUUAUUUUUAACUUAGUGAAAAAUAUUAGUCCAGGCAUAUCAAUCUUUACCCUCUUAAAUGGAUUCAUGGAAAUUAUACUAGUAGGUUUUUUCUGUAUUACCAAAAACCUCAAAACUGAGAGGGUAUGGAUCUUGAUUCACAUGAAAGAAAAAAAAUCAAAAUAUCAAUAGCAAAGCCCUAUGAUUUUCAGAUUAUACAUUGACAGAGAGUAAAAAGAAAGAUCAGUAACUAGAAGUUAAUAUAGAAUUUUUGUACAUUCAAUGAACAUUUACUGAACAUGAACUAUGUUCAAUAAACAAAUUUGUGUUUUUUUACUAGUACUCUAAGUGUCUUAGAAUAGUGUCUAAGUGCCAGGUACUAUUCUAAGUACUAACGAUUCAUUAGUGGAAACAAAAAUGAAAAUCCCUGUCUUCAUGUAGCUUACAUUCUAAUGGAAGGAAUAUUAAUAAACAUAAAAAUAAGUAAAUUAUGUUAGAUGAUCUAAGUAAUUGAGAAUAUAAAAAAAUGGAGCAGCAUAAGAAGAGUGAGAAGCAAAGACUGUACUUCCUUGAGAAGAUGACAAUUGAUCAGAGACUUGAAGAAAGUCAGUCAGUCAUGAAGAAAUCUAGGGGAAGAGAGUCCCAUGCUGAACAAAGCAGCCAGGGCAGAUCUGCAAAGCAAGUUCAAGUGAUGGACCUCUCCUUCUGUUUGCAUUAGGUUCUCAUACUCCUUAGGUUUCCUACACACCCUUGGGCUUAUUUCCCACAGGACCAGUCACUACCCACAAGGUCCCUAAGAGAAAGGGGCAGUGCAGCAAAGGCACUGAUGAAAACAUGUCUUCAGCAGUUUAUCUUUGACACCAAACUCUUAGAGAGUUCAUUUGUUCUUUCUCUGGCUACCCAGAUUCCUAUAUCCUAUCCUUUAGGUCUAUCUUUUCCAAUGAAAGACUGAGUCACAAAUUUUGUCUUAGUGAAGGGGGAGUUGUAUUAAGUUAAUCUAAUCAAGGAAGAAUUCCACAUCUGAGUUAUCUUUAAAAGCACUAAAUAAUUGUACCUAUCAUUAUUUUUAUUUUAAAAAUGUCCUGAAAAUAAACUACUAGUAUCAUAAAUAUUGCCUAGGUUUAUGUAAAUUGAUAGCUGUGAUAAUAAAACAUUUUUCAUAAAAUCAACACUAUAUAAAUAUAAAUCAUGCACACCAUUGUAAAAUGAUGAUUUGGAAAAAUAGUAAAUGUAAUCUUACAAGUGCCUUCGUUUACGUACAAAAUGUGGAAAAAACAAGACCAGAAUAUAUGUAUAUAUAAUAUUUUAUAUGAAAUAUUCUUUUACGCAUUAUAAACCCCAAACACAUUAAAUUAUUAGCAUUAUCCAUGAACUUACAUUUAAACCAUAAAUUGUACUUUCUGCCUUUUUCAGUAACUAUCACCUCAUCUCUAUUAUUUUCAUCUCAAAACUAAUUGCCUCUUUUAUGGGAUCUAACCAACUAGUAUCCUUGGCAAUACACUUUAUGGGGCUUGCAUUUAGAAAAAUUGUUUGGGCAAUUUGCCACAUAGUACAAUUGGAAAAUAUUUUACUAACCUAGGUCUAAAUCUUCACAGACAUGAUCAGUUUUACAAUGAGAAAUAUAGUUUUUAAGGUAGAAAAGAUUGUUUCUUGCCCUAGACAGCAUCUAAAUUUCCUGUCAUUAAAUAAAUUAAGUAAACUCACUAAUGUAUGGAUUGGUAAUCCCCAUGAUGAGUAAAAAUUAAUUGUUUUAUGGCCCUAACAGUAACAGAAGUACAAUCCCUAUAAAAUUUACAUUACUGCUGGAGUUCCCGUCGUGGCGCAGUGGUAUGAGGUUGCGGGUUCGAUCCCUGGCCUUGCUCAGCGGGUUAAGGAUCCCACGUCGCGGUGGGCUGUGGUGUAGGUUGCAGACGUGGCUUGGAUCCUGCGUUGCUGUGGCUCUGGUGAAGGCUGGCGGAUACAGCUCCGAUUCGACCCCUAGCCUGGGAACCUCCAUAUGCCGCGGGAGUAGCCCAAGAAAUG